rnacentral:tRNA from 1 species
ACGUCGGUGGUUCAAUGGUAGAAUGCUUGCCUGCCACGCGGGCGGACCGGGUUCGAUUCCCAGUCGACGGA